ensembl:rRNA 5S_rRNA 5S ribosomal RNA
GUCUAUGGUCAGGCCACCCUGAGGGCGCUCAAUCUCGUCUCAUCUCAAAAGCUAAGUAGGGUCAGGCCUGGUUAGUACUUGGCUGGGAGACUUCCUGGGAAUACUGUGUGCUGUAGGCU